CCCCACUCCUUCACUUCCCCUCCCCUCCCCUCUCUUUUCUCCCUUCCACUACCAUUCCCCCUUGCUUUAAGGGAAACUUACCUUUCCUGCUCUUCACUGACUUCUUGAUUCUCGUGGCUUUGGCUGCUAUUUUGCCUUGCUUUGCUCUGCUGUGCUAUGCACUGCUUUCUCUGUAUUUCUUGCCAUCCACUCCUUCCUUCGAGUUAUUCUUUACUUUUUGACUUGGCUUUUUUCUUCUUUUCUCUUUACCUUUCUUCUCUUGUCAUUAUUCGUUUUUCCUUUUGUUUUUUCUUUUUCAUCUACUGUUUUUUCUUUUCUUUUUUUCUUUCUUUUUUUCAUAUUUUUCUGUCUUCUUUUUUUUAUUUUCUUUUCUUUUUCUUUUCUCUUUUCUUUAUCUUUUUCUUUUUUUCUUUUCUCUUUUUUCUCUUUUUUGUUCAUUUUCUUUUUUCUUUUCUCUUUUUUCUCUUUUUCUUUUUUCUUCUUUUUACUCUUUUUUUCAUUUUUUCUUUUUUCUUUUCAUUUUUUCUCUUUUUCUUAUUUUUUUCUUUCUCUUUUUUUCAUAUUUUUUGUUCUUAUUUUUUCUUUUCUUUUUUCAUCAUAGGUUUGCCUUCAGCCCUCCCCUCAGCCCUUCCCUCCGCUCUGCUCUUCACCCAUCCCCUCCCCAUCCCCAUCCCUUCUUUCUCCCUUACCCCCCCCCUUUCCCUUGCCUUUGCCUCCCAUUACCUUGCCUGCCCUUCACUUACCUUCUCCUCACUUCCUGCUUCUUGAUGCUCUGGGCUUUUGCUGCUACUCACGCCAAACCUCAACACUUGCCUACUCUGCUUGCGCUCUGCCAAGUUGCUCUCUACUCUGCUCGCAGCUUCACGCCUACUGCCUGCCCUUCUCUAUCCCCUUCUCGUGCCCUUCAGGCUUUUCCUCCCCUUGCUGAGCAAGGCCCAUGCCCCGGUAGCUACCCUUGAACCUCCUCCGCCCUUUGCCUUCCUCCACAGAGAUGCUUGCUUCUGGCCAGCACUCCUGCCCGGUGCCUAGCCCACACACCUCAUCUCUUGGGGAGAUAGCAAGGUGGCCUGUAGCUACCCACACCUCCUCCCGGGCAUGGCUUCUCAGCUUUGCUUCAAGCCCAGAACCCAAAGGAGCUCCUCUUACCUUUUGGCCCACGUUCUUCUCCUCCCGCGCAGCUCCUGUGGCAAGCAGGGGCACAGCUCUGGACAGAUUCCUCCAUUCCUGCAAGGUUGCUUUUUGUCAUUCUUUGCCUUCUUUUGCUUUGCUCUCUUUUGCUGUGCUAUGCCUAGCUUUCCUACUUGCUUGCUCUGUAUUUACAUGCAUUGCUUUUUACUUGUUAUUCUCUUUUUUCCUCUGUUUCAUUAUUUUCCCUUCAACCCUCCCCUUCCCUCACCCUACCUCCAAUUUUUCCUUCCCC
rnacentral:lncRNA from 7 species